UGUCCGUAUUUGUCCUUUGUGCGUAAACCCCAAAUGAAAGUCGAACCUCCCAGAAUGUUCCAGUUCUACAUUACCAGACCAGUGGGUAUGACUGGAUUCUCGUAGAUUAUAUUUUUCCACCUGUUUUUAAAAUACGAUGUUAUUUUUGUAAUAUUAUGGCUUUAUUCUCAUAAAAUUAUGACAACUUUAAUCUCAUAAA